rnacentral:rRNA from 1 species
GUUCUUCUGGAGACAAAGGAGGCUUGGACUUUGGAGGCCUUUGCUGGCGUGUCUCUCGCCAGCUCCUCUUAAAUGAAUUAGCGGGGUCCUCUUUGCYGAUCCUCGACACGUGAUAAGAUGCUUCCGUGUCUCGGUUUCUGGCUCUGUUGCUUUUGGGACCCGCUUCUAACCGUCUGGACCUUGUGUCGAGACAAUGUUCGAGCUCGUCUCCCUUCUCGGGAAACGCCCUCGACCCCACGAACCCUUGGCCUCAAAUCGGGUGAGACUACCCGCUGAACUUAAGCAUAUCAAUAAGCGGAGGAA